UAUACACGUUAACAAUGAACAGAAAUCUUAACAUGUGUUAAGGAUUUGUCUGAAUUUAUUUAUGCUUUAAAGUGCUUAAUGUUUUCAGCUACUCUAUCUUCACUUUAUUUAAAUUACAGAAAUAGUUUAUUUUCCAAGUCAUGACAGAGGCAUAUUAGAGCUUGGUUAAUUAAAAUAGUCUAUCCAUUAAAUACAUAGAAAUGCAAAGCUAAGCUCUUCACUGGUGUAACUGACACAGCUACACAGAUCCGACAGGGCUUUACCAGCUUGCAAGAGAAGGCAUUUUGGUCCAUAAUAUCACUCUAAUAGAUUGUCUUGUAAAUAAUAGAUUAGACAAACAAGCACUCUGGUACUUACAUUUUAAAAGACAUAUUAUCUACCUGAUACGACAACUCAUUUUAAAUUCAUCAGGCAUUUUACUAUGCUCACAAGCUACUUAAAAACUGUACUAAGUAACACUCUUCUGGGUCCAGUAUAGGCUAUUCUAAACUCUGCCUGUUGUGUUUGGUUUGGUUUGGUUUGGUUUGGUUUGGUUUGGUUUCUUCCAGAAGACCAUAGUGCAGUGAUAAUUUAUACUACAACAACUAUAUAGUUAAAUUAGAUUACUGCCAUAAAAUGCAUAUUUGACUUUGUU
rnacentral:lncRNA from 1 species